rnacentral:ncRNA from 1 species
GGAUAGCAGAAACUCGUUAACAGUUUUAUGAGGUAAAGCGAAUGAUUAGAGGCCUUAGGGUUGAAACAGCCUUAACCUAUUCUCAAACUUUAAAUAUGUAAGAAGUUUAUCGUUACUUAAUUGAACGUGAACAUUCGAAUGAGAGUUUCUAGUGGGCCAUUUUUGGUAAGCAGAACUGGCGAUGCGGGAUGAACCGAACGUGAGGUUAAGGUGCCAAAAUUUACGCUCAUUUAGAUACCACAAAAGGUGUUAGUUCAUCUAGACAGCAGGACGGUGGCCAUGGAAGUCGGAAUCCGCUAAGGAGUGUGUAACAACUCCCCUGCCGAAUGAACUAGCCCUGAAAAUGGAUGGCGCUCAAGCGUAAUACCUAUACCUCACCUUUAAGGUUAAAGUGAAGCCU